AGCGAACGCUGGCGGCAGGCUUAACACAUGCAAGUCGAGCGGGCACUUCGGUGUCAGCGGCAGACGGGUGAGUAACACGUGGGAACGUACCCUUUGGUUCGGAAUAACGCUGGGAAACUAGCGCUAAUACCGGAUACGCCCUUUUGGGGAAAGGCUUGCUGCCGAAGGAUCGGCCCGCGUCUGAUUAGCUAGUUGGUGGUGUAAUGGCCUACCAAGGCGACGAUCAGUAGCUGGUCUGAGAGGAUGAUCAGCCACACUGGGACUGAGACACGGCCCAGACUCCUACGGGAGGCAGCAGUGGGGAAUAUUGGACAAUGGGCGCAAGCCUGAUCCAGCCAUGCCGCGUGAGUGAUGAAGGCCUUAGGGUUGUAAAGCUCUUUUGUCCGGGACGAUAAUGACGGUACCGGAAGAAUAAGCCCCGGCUAACUUCGUG
rnacentral:rRNA from 1 species